AGAUAAGAAGUUGCCCUAAUGCUUGGGUUCAUACGAAGGCGAUGAAGGAUAUGCGCGAGGCCAAAAGCUUUUUCAAGAUAGCGCCAUGUUGGGUUAUUAUAUCAAAAAGCUUGAGGAAUACUUUGAUAGGAAAUGCCCUCGUCCAAAUAAGGAUGAUGUAUCUUACCUGGAUGAGCAUCUUAAACUGCUUAAGGAAUCCCUUAAGUCUCUUUCUUUUAAAAUAUCCAAACCAACACAACCACUUAAGGAUGUCAAAGUAAUUGAUGGUUCAAAUGACGAACACUUGAGACAGAAUUUCGAUUGGACCAACUAUUUAAAGGAAAUAAUUAUGAAUACGUUUAAACAUUCUGGAUACCUACCACACCAACAGGAGGUGAUUAAUGCAACACUGAAUAAUCUCAAUGUUAUUGCUGUAAUGCCGACUGGAGGUGGAAAAAAGCCUCACCUAUCAGGUAGGAUCGCGAAAAGAAGGAUGGUGAGGUGCCUUCAAAUAUGGAUGAACAGGAUCGCGAAGAGAUUGAAUGUGAGAUGCCUUUAGACAUGGAUGGGCAAGAUUACGAAGAGAAUGUAGAUGAGGUACCUUUACACAUGGAUGGAUGUAAGUGUACAAAAGUAUCAGUAGUAUUACGUGUUCUACAACAUUUGAUUGUUAAAGGAGUUCUUGAGUUGCUUCGAGAGCCAGAUAUAGAGCAAAAGGAAGGUGUGAAGAAGAAGUAUAUGAGAAUGUAUUUAAAUGUAAGGUUCAUUUAUGAAAACAAUUUUUUAUCUAGUUUAUAGUGUUUGCUACAAUGUUUACUAAAUAGU